rnacentral:snoRNA from 1 species
UGGCAUGAAAAGAAGUUGCCUCAAAUCUAGUGUUGUUCUUCUCCCUGCUCAAAAUAAGGUUUCUUAACUGUACCUCUCUGCUUUCCCUUGUAAUGGCCAGGGACACUUGGUCCCAUAUAU